rnacentral:rRNA from 1 species
AUGCUUAACACAUGCAAGUCGAACGGUAACAGGCCUUCGGGCGCUGACGAGUGGCGGACGGGUGAGUAACGCGUAGGAAUCUGCCUUAUAGUGGGGGACAACGUGGGGAAACCCACGCUAAUACCGCAUACGCCCUACGGGGGAAAGCGGGGGAUCGUAAGACCUCGUGCUAUGAGAUGAGCCUGCGUUAGAUUAGCUAGUUGGUAGGGUAAAGGCCUACCAAGGCGACGAUCUAUAGCUGGUCUGAGAGGACGAUCAGCCACACUGGGACUGAGACACGGCCCAGACUCCUACGGGAGGCAGCAGUGGGGAAUAUUGGACAAUGGGCGCAAGCCUGAUCCAGCAAUACCGCGUGUGUGAAGAAGGCCUUAGGGUUGUAAAGCACUUUCAAUGGGGAGGAAAACCUGCCGGUCAAUACCCGGUAGCUUGACAUUACCUAUAGAAGAAGCACCGGCUAACUCCGUGCCAGCAGCCGCGGUAAUACGGAGGGUGCGAGCGUUAAUCGGAAUUACUGGGCGUAAAGCGUGCGUAGGCGGCUCGUUAAGUCAGAUGUGAAAGCCCUGGGCUCAACCUGGGAACUGCAUUUGAAACUGGCGAGCUAGAGUUGAGUAGAGGGGAGUGGAAUUUCAGGUGUAGCGGUGAAAUGCGUAGAUAUCGGAAGGAACACCAGUGG